UGGGGAAUUUUGGACAAUUGGGCGAAAGCCUGAUCCAGCAAUGCCGCGUGUGUGAAGAAGGCCUUCGGGUUGUAAAGCACUUUUGUCCGGAAAGAAAUCCUUGGCUCUAAUACAGUCGGGGGAUGACGGUACCGGAAGAAUAAGCACCGGCUAACUACGUGCCAGCAGCCGCGGUAAUACGUAGGGUGCAAGCGUUAAUCGGAAUUACUGGGCGUAAAGCGUGCGCAGGCGGUUUGCUAAGACCGAUGUGAAAUCCCCGGGCUCAACCUGGGAACUGCAUUGGUGACUGGCAGGCUAGAGUAUGGCAGAGGGGGGUAGAAUUCCACGUGUAGCAGUGAAAUGCGUAGAGAUGUGGAGGAAUACCGAUGGCGAAGGCAGCCCCCUGGGCAAUACUGACGCUCAUGCACGAAAGCGUGGGGAGCAAACAGGAUUAGAUACCCUGGUAGUCCACGCCCUAAACGAUGUCAACUAGUUGUUGGGGAUUCAUUUCCUUAGUAACGUAGCUAACGCGUGAAGUUGACCGCCUGGGGAGUACGGUCGCAAGAUU
rnacentral:rRNA from 1 species